rnacentral:rRNA from 1 species
UUGGGGUAGCCCCCAAAUUAUUGGGACAUAUAAAAAAAAACAACAGAGUAGCUGUUGACAUAGUUACGCAGGCACUUUGUUGACUCUAGAGAACCUCUGGCCAAUCGCACAUCCCUGUGGCGGCGACUUUGCAUGCGGAUGUCAUCCAUUUCAACUUUCGAUGCCAGUUUCUGCGCCUACCAUGGUGACCACGGGUAACGGGGAAUCAGGGUUCCAUUCCAUACAGGGACCCUGAAAAACAGCUACCACAUGCAAGGAAGGCAGCAGGCGCGCAAAUGAACCACUCCCGACGCGGGAAUGUAGUGACGA